ACAGGUAUUAUAUCGUGUGUGCUCGAGUGCAUGAAACAGAAAGGAAAAGGUUUCAAAGAUUAUGAAAAAUUGGUAAUACUAACAUUUGAUGAAGUCUAUCUGUCUAAUAAAAUUGCGAUAGAUCGCAAAUAUGAGCAGGUCGUUGGAUCUCACAAAACGUGUCAAUGUGUCAUGAUACGAAGCUUAUUUUCUAAUUCGAAACAGCCAGUGUACUAUAACUUUGAUGAACCUAUGACUAAAAGUACGCUUCUGCAUGUUAUUUUAGAAAUAUAUAAUAUCGGUUAUACGGUUGUUGCUAUGACGAGUGAUAUGAGUUCGAGUAAUAUGUGAUUGUGGUCAAAAUUAGAAAUAGGAAUUGCACCCAAAAAUGUUACUUUCAGCAUCCUGUUUGUAUAGAACUAAAAAUUUUUGUUUUUACAGAUAUGCCUCAUCUCAUUAAACUUGUGCGUAAUCAUUUCCUCGAUAAUGAGUUCAACGUGAAGUAAUUGGACAACGGAGUAAUUGUUAAUAAAAAAUGUUUGGAACGGAUAUUAGCUAUUAAUAGUAAGGAUUUGAAAGUGGCAUACAAAAUAUAUCUCAGUACCAUUUAGACUUGCAAGGUACUGAGCGACAAAAAGUACUUCCAGCUGUUCAACUACUGUCUGCUAAUACUGCUUCUGCAUUACAAUGGUGUGGGCAAAACGGUUUUCUUGAAAAUGUAGAGUGGAUGAAAACAUCAUGUAUGACCAAGUUGUUGAACGACUGGUUUGAUAUAUUUAAUUCAAAAUCGAUGUAUGGCAAUCAUUCAGGAAAAAAUGCGUACGGCAAAAACUUAGAAGAACAAAAUGCAAUACUUCACAAAGUGACGUCUUUCAUGUACAAAUUAAGAGUAGGAAGGCACAAAAGUUUAAUAUUAUUUCAGAAAGGGUUUAUCGUAAGCAAUAAUUCUUUGGAACAAUUAUUACCGUACUUAAUCGAAAAGUAUAUUAUGACUGAUAUUAAAUAUGUGAUAACAAAUAGGUUAAACCAAGAUGUAUUGGAAAAUUUUUUUUCUUUUAUAAGAUCGAAUGGUGGUGGUGCAAACGAUCAACCAUCAGCCUUAGAUUUUAAGUAUAGAAUGAAACGUUACAUAUUAGGAAAAUUUUCUACGAUAACUUUCUGCAAAAAUACAAAUGUCACAGAAAGCGAACAAAAUCUAUGCUGUUUAAUAUCCGUUUAACAAUAAUAAUAAUAAUUGUGAAGAGUAUACUUUAAGUGAAAUGUUAAGUCCGUACGCAAACGAAGAAGAAACAAUCUAUCAUGUCGAAGAACAAUUGUUAAUGGAGAAUGAAAGUAAUGAUAAGAAAAAUUGCGUUCCAUGUUUCAAUUUAGUAUAUAUUCCUACUUUAGAAGAAGAACAGUUAUUAAAAUCCUUAGAUGAAAUGGAAAUUGUCGACAAUAUUGAAGCUCAAGGUUUACUAUAUAUAGCUGGCUAUGUAGCAUACAGGUUCAAAAAUAAACAUGAUACACUAGGUAUUCAAACAUGUGAGUUACCAACUAAUAAUGACCAAGAUUGGUUACAAUUCAUUUCCCGAGGGAAAUGCAUGUACCCAUCACCUGAGCUUUUAAAAGCUGCACAUGUCAUGAACAGAGAAUUUUGUAAGUAUCAGUUUAAAGCUUAGCAAAGACAAAUUUAUCUUCAAAAAACUUGCGAAUAGAGUAGAAAUUGUAUUAAAACCUAUUGAAUUGCCAAGAGAAGUCUUGUUAUGUCUUAUUAGGACAAGAACCUACAUUAGAGUACGAGAAAUUAAUCGAAUUAUUGCUUUAAAAAAUAGAUUUAAAAAUAAGAAAAAAAAGUUAACCAAAUUUACCAAUAAUAAAUCUUUUUCAUAGCAUUUUUAUAUAUGUUUUUAUUAUUCUUGUCAUUUAACUAUCCCUACAAAGUACAUAGUUUCUUUCGAAGUUUCAUACGAAAAAUGUAUUGACAUUUUUAUGUAUUCGUUUUGUAUACUUUUCUAUAUUUAUUAAGUGUGUAAUGUUUAUUUAUAUUUAUUAAUUUAUAAACUGUGACAAGAUAUUUAUUAAUUCAUAAACUAUUACUUCACAAUAAAUUCUUUCUUGCAAAUUUAAAAUUAAAAUAAUAUAUCUAACGAGAAUGCUACUAACAAGCUAUUUAGAAUCAGCAGUUUUAAAUUUACCGCUUAUUUGUGACGUCACACUUUGGCAAUUCUGAUUGGUAGCAUGCGCAUGAGCAUACCCUUGUCUUUAUACCAUGGUCAAAACUAGGUGUCAGUUCCUUGUAUCUCUACUAACCGUCAACAAGAGCAAAGACGAAAACGACCCAUAGGUAAGGUUAGAGAGUGCCGAAAAACACGGUAGGAAUUGAGGGUUAAGAAUCUUGUUAAAUUUUAUGUUUCAGACUACCUCGAGAGCUCAAAUUACCUCCGCUAACAACAUAUUUUGGCCUUAUGUUCAUAAAUCGUUAAAUAAAUAUAUAUUUUUAUGCAACAAAAAAAUUGUUUUCUAUUCUUUAAAAGUGUACCUUUCAGUGAAAAAAAAGUUUGUACCAAUACAUGCAAUACUUAAAAAAAAUUCAUUAAAAAUAACUUAUUUUUUCGGGCGUCGCACUGUAAUAGCCCCUUAAAUGACCCAUGUAAAAAAUUUUAACCCUAAAGAGAAUCAAAUGUAUGUAGAAUACCCAUACGCACACUCAAACGCACGCACGCACACACACAAGAAAAUCAACGAGAAACUAAACAUUAACCCUCUGCCUACACACGGGGUUACGGUAACCCCAGUCGAUUUUAAAAUGUUCGCUACUUAAAAGUAUUUAGCAAGGGGACGCUGGAACCGGGGGGGGGGGGAGUUUGAACUGUGCUUUACUUAUUCCUUUUUGGGCGUUGUGAAUGUUCUGAAAACAACAGAAGUAGGAGCAUCGAAAGUUUGUGUUGGGAUUACAGUUACCCCGUGUGUAGGGAACGUAACAAAAAAAAUGGAAAAGUUCCAAAUUUGACGGUUUCACAGUUCUACGACUAUGAGCCAACAGAAGAAGAAAUGAAUCUUCUUGAAAAUUUCAAUAAAACUGAUGACCGAGAAUGGAUCUGCAAUUGAGGCUUAAAAUACAUCGCGGGAUAUGUUGCCUAUCAGUCCAGGGACAAGUAUUCCUUUUUGGGAAAUUCAACAAAAGAUUUAGGAUCGCUGGAUAACUCGGAAUAUAUGUUAUCGGUGGCAGAUCUUAUAAGAGAAGAAUGACUCCGUUCCUCGUGAUGCUCUUUUGUGUCUGGUGCGCACGAGAACGUACAUCAAGCUCAGAAAAUAAAAUAUAGAAAUUCGAGAACAAAAUAGGUUUAAGAAAACAACAAAAAAAGUAGGAAAGACAAAAAUGAAGAAAAUGUCCAAUAAAAUUAUUUAACUAGCAAUGAAUGUUUCGUUCAUAUUUGUUUGAAUGUUUAAGUAUAAUAUUCAAAUAAACCGCUAGUAAUGGCCGACAAUUGUGCAGCGUUCUCUAUUGACUGGUUCAACAUGAUGCAUAUUGCCUCACCUUAUUUCCUUCCACCAAUGUCUACCCAAGCACAUUGUCAGACAAAAGAGUAAACUGUGCCAGUAAUAUAAUUAUCUCUAUAGAAAUAAAUAAUUAUCUUGAUAUAUAUUGUGACAUAACGUCUGUAGGCUGUCGUUCGUUAUAACGAGCGCGUGUGUCCGAUUUUGCUUUACCACACAAAUCCUGCGUUCUCCCGCCUCGGGAGUAGGCGCAUUAGCGUGGCGCAUUUUAUUUUGUGUUCGUAUAUUGUUUUGGGUGCCGUCUUUCUGCUUAAAUUCAGUUAUUUUCAAGGUCUAUAGAUGAACGAUAGGAGGAAAAGGAAGAUCUUCGCAUGAGCGCUAUUUUGGGGCUACAAAGUGUAUGUAUGAGUGUGUGUUGUACUAGAAGAGUGAGUGAAAAAUAGGAAAGGUGAAAUUGAUGUAUCGUAUUGGUCCCGCCAUGUUGGAGCCAAAUGUAUAAAUAUAAAUGCAAAGACCUUUUUUCCCCUUCCGUCGUUCAUCUACUACUUGAUUAUUUCAUUUUAAUCUGAUUACAUGUUCAGUGGUUAACCAUCGCGGCGUUGCGAGGGAUUAUCUAUUGUACAGCGUACGUUCUCCAAGAGAUAAUUUUGUUAGCGGGAGGUCACGAACUUGGAGCGUGCCACGCAAGCUGUAACCUGUUGUAGAUUCCGGCCGCCCUUGACUAUCCUCGCGUUCGAAACUGUGGCAACAAUUUAAGUGCGUCUGUACAAUAUCAAGACAUGCGCAAAGAUAGAAAUCGCAUCGCGAUUAUUGUACUUGUUCUUUUCCCGGCUUAAUGGUUAAUUCAAGCAAAAAUCGGUUUCGUGAAGGUAUACUUAAAUUAUUUUUUAUAAUUAAAAAUUUUUUUCAUUUAAAAAUUUUUUAAUAAAAAAUCAUAAAUUAUAAAUCUUGUUAGAUUAGCUCCUUGACGUUUUAUCUAGAUACGUGGAGAAUUAAUAAUGUAGAGAACAAUAAAUCUGGCUGUUAAAGUUAUGAAAGAACUAAACGAAUCGCAACGCCUCCGAGCCCCUUAAGCCUUAAUGAAUCGACCUUGUUACAAAUUCAAAAUUGAACAUCUCGGCAUCUAAUUGCCCUAGCACAAAAUUUCAAAAACGGUUUGAAAGAUUUGAAACCAUACUUUUCGAAAUUUGUAUCGACAUUGCAGGCAAAAGUUUUCAAAAUGAUGGAUGACAAGGAAAGUGCAAGCAAAGUUGAUAAAUAAGUAUUCGAGCUUGCGACAACGCGUGGCGUAAAGUAGGUGUCAUAGCCCAAUGGGACAAAAAUCCUCUAAAAGUAUACAGUAUUAUCUUUAAAAUGCUUUUUUACGGAGCUUGAUACAAUAAUUUUUUGCUGAGUUAUGCAAGUUUAAAGAGAAAAGCUAUUUUUCAAUUCAAAUUUUAAUUACUGCAAAAAAUGAUCGCAUCGAACUCUGUAAAAAAGCAUUUUAAAGCUAAUGCUCUAUAUUUUCAUUUGCAUUUCGUUCUAUUGGGCUGUGACACCUGAUUCAUGCACCGCCGAAAACGCAGAUCUUUAUUUAUCAAUUUUGCAUCCUCUAACUUUGUCAUCCGCCAUUUUGAAAAAAAUAGCCA